UAGGGAAUCUUCCACAAUGGACGCAAGUCUGAUGGAGCAACGCCGCGUGAGUGAAGAAGGUUUUCGGAUCGUAAAGCUCUGUUGUUGGUGAAGAAGGAUAGAGGUAGUAACUGGCCUUUAUUUGACGGUAAUCAACCAGAAAGUCACGGCAAACUACGUGCCAGCAGCCGCUGUAAUACUUAGGUGGCAAGCGUUGUCCGGAUUUAUUGGGCGUAAAGCGAGCGCAGGCGGAAGAAUAAGUCUGAUGUGAAAGCCCUCGGCUGAACCGAGGAACUGCAUCGGAAACUGUUCUUCUUGAGUGCAGAAGAGGAGAGUGGAAUUCCAUGUGUAGCGGUGGAAUGCGUAGAUAUUAGGAAGAACACCAGUGGCGAAGGCGACUCUCUGGUCUGCAACUGACGCUGAGGCUCGAAAGCAUGGGUAGCGAACAGG
rnacentral:rRNA from 1 species